UCCAUAGCAAGGUUCUAACAC
rnacentral:piRNA from 1 species